AGUUCAAGUGAGCCCCACUUAAGUAAAAUAUGUAAUGCCUGGAGGGGCCAGUAAGUGGCGCUGUUUUUUUUCUUGAGACAAAGCUCACAAGCCAGCAUGUCGUCACGGGCGGGAGGAUAACACAAUAUGGCAGCCUGACGGUCCUGGCUCGUCACAUGCGCGUCGGUAAAGGAGAAUGCUUCAUGAUUGAGGAAUUAAGCAGAAGUGAGCUGCGCUUUUGAGGUGAAAGAACUGCGAGUAAGUGGCGUUCCAGUGAGAUAAGAAACUCCAUAACGGCACGUCGUAGGGCACCGAAGUAAGCUGUUGCUGUGUAUGGGAAAGGCUCUAGCUAGCCAGGCUAACGGAGUGUUCUGGAAGGCUACGGAGCUGCAGGACGGCAGGGGAGACAACAUUUUCAGAGUUGAUCGUCGGUGAGACCGUGCCAGUAGGAGCCGGUCAUUUGUCGUCACUUUUCUAUGUCUUCGGCUGAAUGAUGGGUCUGAGGGAGCUUCAAUCAGAAACCACCACUUAUCUCCUGUGUUCAGCAUCCUGAGUUUCUGACCAAACUCAGCUUUUUUAAGAGGGACAGCUUGCAGACUCAGUGACUGAUAAACUAAAUCUACGGCCCUCUUCCUACUGAUUUAUGGUCUCCUUCCUUUACGGAGCACUCUACAGCUUCCAGGAGAAGACAAAGAAGGCACACAGCUCCUUCCCUCCACCCUCUGGAUGCUUCACUCUAAAAAUG